rnacentral:rRNA from 1 species
UUUUCGGAGAGUUUGAUCCUGGCUCAGAACGAACGCUGGCGGUGUGGAUAAGGCAUGCAAGUCGAACGGACUUUCUAGCUGUUUCGGAAAGUUAGUGGCGCACGGAUGCGUAAUACGUGGUUAAUUUGCCUUUGAGAUCGGGAUAACCCGUCGAAAGACGAGCUAAUACCGGAUGUGACCACAGAUACUGCGGUAUCAGGGGUAAAAGCUGGGGACUACGGCGAAAGCCGUUGCCUAGCACUCAAAGAUGAGAUCACGGCCUAUCAGGUAGUUGGUGAGGUAAUGGCUCACCAAGCCUAUGACGGGUAGCUGGUCUGAGAGGAUGGUCAGCCAUACUGGAACUGAGACACGGUCCAGACUCCUACGGGAGGCAGCAGCCGAGAAUCUUCCGCAAUGGGCGCAAGCCUGACGGAGCGACACCGCGUGUAGGAUGAAGGCCUUCGGGUUGUAAACUACUGUCACUUGGAAAGAAACUCACGGCGGUGAAUAACCGCAGUGACUGACGGUACCAAGAGAGGAAGCCACGGCUAACUCUGUGCCAGCAGCCGCGGUAAUACAGAGGUGGCGAGCGUUGUUCGGAUUAACUGGGUGUAAAGGGUAUGUAGGCGGCUUGGAAAGUUGGAUGUGAAAUCCUAUUGCUCAACGAUAGAAUUGCAUUCAAGACUACUGAGCUAGAGUGUGAGAGAGGUAAAGGGAAUUCCCGGUGUAAGGGUGAAAUCUGUAGAGAUCGGGAGGAACACCAGCGGCGAAGGCGCUUUACUAGCUCGCAACUGACGCUGAAUAUACGAAAGCAUGGGUAGCAAACGGGAUUAGAUACCCCGGUAGUCCAUGCCGUAAACGAUGUUCACUAGGUGUUGGCUCCGUUUCAUUCGGGGUCAGUGCCGUCGCUAACGCAUUAAGUGAACCACCUGGGGAGUAUACUCGCAAGGGUGAAACUCAAAGGAAUUGACGGGGACCCGCACAAACGGUGGAGCAUGUGGUUUAAUACGACGAUACGCGUGGAACCUCACCCAGGCUUGACAUGCACAGGAAAUCCUUAUGAAAGUAGGGACCUCCUUCACAGGACCUGUACACAGGUGUUGCAUGGCUGUCGUCAGCUCGUGUCGUGAGAUGUUGGGUUAAGUCCCGCAACGAGCGCAACCCCUAUCCUUAGUUGCUAACGGGUCAUGCCGAGAACUCUAAGGAGACUGCCAGUGAUGAACUGGAGGAAGGUGGGGAUGACGUCAAGUCAGUACGGCCCUUACGCCUGGGGCUACACACGUGCUACAAUGGCCGGUACAAUGGGCUGCCAAACCGCAAGGUGGAGCUAAUCCUGAAAACCGGUCCCAGUUCGAAUUGAAGGCUGCAAUUCGCCUUCAUGAAGCUGGAAUCGUUAGUAACCCCGUAUCAGCCACGACGGGGUGAAUACGUUCCCGGGUCUUGUACACACCGCCCGUCAAGUGAUCCGAGUUGAUUGUACCCGAAGUAGGCUGUCUAACCGCAAGGAGGACAUCUGCGAAGGUAUGGUUAAUGAGGAGCACUAAGUCGUAACAAGGUAACCUUACCGGAAGGUGAGGUUGGAUCACCUCCUUUCUA